rnacentral:lncRNA from 1 species
CUUCAAAGUACUUGAAUAACUUUCAGGAGAUCCUAAAUCAGUUGGCUAUAAUGAAAUUACUUCUUGAUGAUAAGGUGUAGAUAUUGAUUUUACUGAAUUUUUUAUCAGAUAGUUGGAAGACAUUGAUGGUGAUGCUGAAUAAUUUCACUGUGAGUGACAAACUUAUCCUAACUAUGGUGAAGGAUAGUAUAUUGAAUGAAGUAAACAGAUGAAAAUAGUAGGAUUUGACAGAUAUAGGUUCUGAGGCACUGAUUGUAGAGCAGAGGGGGAGAAGCAAAAAUAGACCCUCCUACGACAAAAAGAAUGGUGAGUCCCAUGAUAGAAAAGGCAGGAGAAAAUCCAGAGGCUGAUCAAGAUCCAAGAAGGGUGUCACCUACUACUAUAAUAAGUCAGGAUAUUUUCAGAGAGAGUGUAAAAAGUAUAAGAGGGAUCAAGAUAAGAGUGA